rnacentral:rRNA from 1 species
GGGUCAGUAGGUUGGUCGUGCCACCGGUACGUACUGGUCUCACUGAUUCCUCCUUCCUGAAGAACCGUAAUGCCAUUAAUUUGGUGUUGCGGGGAAACAGGACUGUUACUUUGAAAAAUUAAAGUGUUUAAAGCAAGCUAACGCUUGAAUACAUUAGCAUGGAAUAAUGAAAUAGGACGAUCGAUCCUAUUUUGUUGGUUUCUAGGAUUGACGUA